UAGUUGACUUUUUGGAGCAGAUCUGUGGUGAUGAUGGUGCCGCUUCCAUUCUAGAAUGUAUUGUCAAGUUUGAAAAACCAAACUUAACAGGAGAUAUUCAUUCACACACUGAAGCUCUUUCAAAUGAGAGCAUCCAGAGCAGUGACUGGUCAAGAAGAUCUGUGCCUCAAUUCCCAACUCCUUUGAAUUCAAUAGGGGAAUGUCCUGAAGUCCCAAUCAGAUAUGACUGGAUAUUUUUCAUCUUCAUCAAGACAUUUGUCUGCUUCAAGAGUGGCAUAGUGCCUGGCACAGAGGAAACCCUCGUGCAAUGUUUGCUGAACAAGACAUCUUAAUAUCCAUGAAGACCUGCCUAUGUAAGGGAUGAAGCAAAAAAGGGACAAUGCAUAAUACAUUGACGAAGUCUCCAGGAUUUGAAGCUGGACCAAAACCCAGCUAUAGCAUUUAUUAGCUACUUCACUUCGAACAAGUUAACCUCUCUAGGAAUCAAUGAUCUUACCAGAGAAGCACAGGUGUCUUCAGUGCCUAUUCCAGAUGAAAAUACCUUCAUGGAAGCGACAUCCCUGUCAACUGAAUUUUCAUAUCUCCCCAUUAAAUGGUAAGAAUGUGAUUGGAAUGUUACAUUUAUGAGGCAGGUUUUGAAACCUCUGA